rnacentral:lncRNA from 1 species
AGGAGUGAGAGGGGGAUUAGAAUCAAAGAAUAGGGUGAGAGAAGACAGUUGUUGACAGUUGAGCCAGUAGAACCUGAGGAAGGGGGAGGGGAUUAAACGGGGGAGGGAGAGUUGGGAGAGGAGUAAGGAAGAGAGGUGAAAAAGGGACUGUUUAGCACACGAUGGGGAACUGAGAAAAGUAAGAGGAAUCAGGGGAGGAGAAAGAGAAGAAGCGAGGAGAGAGUCGUCGUGGCAGAAGAAGAAGCUGGAGACUUGGAAUAUAAAAGAGGACCAGUAGAGGACUGACUGCAGCAUAACUAUGGCCUACAAGAAUCUGGACACAAUACAGAGAUGGAUUCCCCUGGAAUAUAGUUCUGGAGUAUGAGAUGAUACUGUCAAAAGUGGACAUCACCAGGAAGAAGCUCAUAAACAUUAGAAUGCUCAGGAGGGCUCUUUGCUCUGGAGUUGCUUUUGGAGAAAGUUUUGGAUUCUGCAGUCACUGGGACUGAGUCUUAUGCCUGCACAAGAGAGUCACCAUGUAGUAAGUUGAGAGGUCCAUGAGACCAAUAAGAAAUACAUUCCUGAAAGCCAGCAGUGUGGAGAAGGUACACUGCAUUGAGGAACUCAUGGGUAGAAAAGAGCAAGAUUUCAUGAUGUAUAUAAGAUUAACCAGGUAAGAUUUCGUGUGGCAAUAGGUGCUAUUAAAAUAUGGCUGCUGAUGGAUGUAUAGAAGAUGCUCAAUAAAAUAAAGAAAGAUGAGAGCUGAUGUGGGGAAUUGGGUUUGAACUUUGCUAAGUGAGAGGUUUGAGGGCAGAGGAUGAUUGCCUGGAAGACACUCAACAGACAGGUGGUACAAACAGAGAGGCUCCUGAAAAACCUGUGCAAGAAAAUAAAUAGUUUACACGUAAUGUCAUCCCAUCCUCCUGAAGACAUAAAAAAGUCUUCAGUUAUAUAUGCUGCAACUAACAGCAUCACUAUGUGUAUAAGGGCCACAAGGCCAAUGGGCAAUUCAGUGAGUUUAGGCCUGUGCUCAUGAAUGAAGAUGAAGGUGUGGAAGAGAAGAAGGCACCUGUUGGCUGAGAUCCUGAUGCCUAUCUCAGAGAAGAAAGCAUUUCUGAUUCUUGAUGAACACAGAGCUGUGGCUCACAAGAAUCCAGGUAGAAGAGAAUACUGGAAUAUCUUUGAACAGAUGGCCUGAGCAGGAGAUAAACCUGUCCAACAUAGACAUCAGCACAC